AAGGAUUCUGGGAGGUGUAGUUGAGCCACAUCUGGAGGACCUGACAUGUUCCUAAUCUCUGGGUUUAGUGUAUUGUUGCUCUUGCUUCUGUAUUGCCACCCAACUUGCACCUGCUGUCUCCCCAGUGAUGAGACUUUUACCGCCCCAGUCUGAUUUCUUGUGACUGAGUGGUCCUUUCUGAGGCUUAAGAGCUCAGCAGGACUUGGGUGAGGUUGGAAGGUCAUAGCUGCAAAUCAGGACUUAAUAAUAAUAAUUUUCUCUUGCUUUCCAGGAUCUGCUGUUUCUUUCAAACGGCAGAAUGGAGCAGUUAAUUUAAAAGACUGUGCUUCCAACAGAAUGCAGUACAUACUCGAGAGACUCCCUUGUGGACUAGACUGCUUGUCCUCCUGUCUCCAAAGGAGAAAAAAUGGUGAACCUGAAUUGGGCCCGCCCUCCCUCCCUCCCUGAUGGAGAUUGAGCAGAUGACUCCCUGAAACUAACUAUAGUCCUAAGCUAGCUGCCAGACCAUUGGUCCAUCCAUCUCUGCAUUGUCUACAUGAACUGGCAGCAGAUGCAAAGAGGAAGAGCUCAAAUUGGACAGUGUGGGACUCCUACUGGUCUUUCCAGUAACUGGUAGCUUCCUUAGUUGUGAUAUUGCUGCAGCAUUGAUUCCUUCUAGCCCACUUCACCCGGCCUGUACAAGAUCACCCAGCCUUGCUUUGCAUCCAACAGGCAUGCACAGUUGGAGACUGUUCUCAAGAUGAUCAGCAAGUUGUCAGUGCU